rnacentral:lncRNA from 1 species
UUGAGUUUAAAUCAAAUUCAUGCAGUUAAAAAUAACCCGAAAUCCACAAAUUCAACUUAAAAACACGACUGACACAACAACAGCUACACAAUGUUGUCAUAUUUCUAAUGCCCUUAUGUUCAUACAUUUUGAUAUAUUAGAGUGUCUACAAUGAGGUAAGAUUAGUGGUAAUUAGUUUUUACAAGCAUUCGGUUUUAUAGAUGCAUUUAGAUGAGUUAAAUCUUUGAAAAAUGUGUGAAUGUUUACUAUUUUAGUUGAUGUAGAGUGUCUUGUGUUGGUUGCAUGAUUUUGAUGAUUUAAUCAUGUUUUUGUUUAUGUUUUUUUAUGAGUUUUGAUGCCCGGAUAAUUUAUGAUGAAUUGGAAUGAAUUUCAGAUAAUAAAUGAAAGAAAAAAAUGGAAAAGGAAUAGCAAACAGAGGCUAGAUUCCUCUAUCUGUGAUGUCCAAGCACUAAUGUGCCAGCAAAGGGGGCAGGCAUGGGUGAUCGUGCAUGAUGGUGCAUGCGAGACACUGUACAAAUGCCCCUGCUGCACCAAGAGGGCCCGCAUGAGGCACUGUGUGUGUGGAGUGAUAUGGUGCAUGUGCACAAGGAUGUAGACCUAGGCACCCACAACAUUGAGGCGUGUGCCCCACUGCCAUACUGCAGCACACACCAAGUCGUGCGGGGCAUGGAGCGCUAUUAAGCGUGCACAUGCUGAAAGCACCAUCGGCCAAGGCACCUUGUGCCGCGGGUACAGGCUUACAAGAAUUUAUCCCCCUAUCACGGAUUCGAGGACAAAUUGCUCAAAAUGUCAAAAAGAACGAAUUUUUGUAAUUUAAAAUUAAGUUUUGAAUUUUGAAAAUGGUAAAAUAAGAGAUUCAAAAUUAAAAAAGGAAAUUUACAAUUAAAAUAUGAAUUUUGAAUACAGCAAGAAAUAAGGAAUUAGAAAAUUGUUCUAAGGGAAAUUUUGAAAUUUAGUUUUGAUAUUUAAAAAUGGAAAAAUAAGAUAUUUGAAAUUAAAAAGGAAAAUUGGUAAUUUAAAUAUGAAUAAGGCAAGAACUAAGGAAUUUGAAUUUGUUCUAAGGAAAAUUUUGAAACCAAUCUUGAGAAUGUGGAAAUUAAUUUGGCAAAUUUUGAAUUAAGGCAAGUUAAUAAGAACUUGAAAAAUGGGAAGUUGACUAAGAUUCGAAUUUGUAAAAGUGGUUGAUUUGGGAAAAUGGGAAUACAUGGGUCUAACCUAGGUCUAGAUUAGAUAAACAAAAAUAGUAAUAACAUAAAAAGUCUAAUGUCUAAUGAGAUGUAAUAAACAAAAUUGUCCAGUUAAAUCUGUUUACUCUAUUAUCUAUGAGGUUUAUAUGUCUGUAAGUAUGUAUGCUUCUAGACACGUGAAUGGGUUUUGUUCUAUAUCUCUUCGUGGAUGAAGGUUCAGUUUUGCUAGACAUUUUGGUUCAUAGCCUUGUGUACAGGGGAUGAACGAGGCGACCAAAGAGAUUGAGUGAUCUAUCUGUAUAUCUAUUUUGUUAUCUAUGCCCCCAUUCACGGUGUUAUUCGGUGUAUUUUAUCCUAUUAAUUAUAGGCUUAGGCAAGCUGCAUGUGUAGGUACAUAAACAGUGUAACAAAUAAGAUUAGUAAUGUAGAAUUAAAACUAUGUCAGAAGACAAGUUAGAGUCUAAGUCUGGGUACAUGUGUCAGUGAUAUGAUUUAUUCUCGGUAUGGGAUUUGAUCCGAUCUGAUCCAUCAUCUGCUUCUGAUACCUUUGAGACUCUGGUACGUUUGGUAUGAUGAUUUUUUGUUUUAGUUAUUUAAUAAAAUGAAAUGUGGAAAAAUGAAAUGGAUUAGACUUAGUGGUAUAAUUUAUCUCACUUUUUUACUAUUGGCUAAUAUGUAUAUGUUUAAAAAUGGUGAUUGUAUUACUUAAUUAUUGCUUGUCUUACUAAGUUUACUAGAACUCACCCUAAUCCAAUUUUCUUCCCAGAUAAUGAUCUUACAAAUGUCCCUGAUGAUACCUGUCUGGAUCCGUUCCAGGAUGCUUAAUGGAAGCAUUGAAGAACUUUUUUUUGUAUUUUGUUUUUGAUAGGCCAGAUUUUUUUUGUAAACCCACAACAUUUGUAUGUAUGAUUGAUAAUCUAGUGACUUAAUAUGCUACUAAUAUAAUCACUAUAAGGG